GGUUAAGGAUGCAGUGAACUUUGAUCAUGCCACUGUACAACCUGGGUGACAGAGAGAGACCCUCAUUUCAAAAAACCCAAUUAACUAAAUUAAAUAUAACCUUUCUUUUCUUUCUUUCUUUCUUUUUUUUUUUUUUGAGACAGGUCUUGCUGUGUCACCCAGCCUGUAAUGCAGUUGGCGCCAGCUCAGGUCACUGUGACCUUGACCUUCUGGACUCAAGUGAUCCUCCCACCUCAGUCUCCCAAGCAGACACAGCUGUGCUGAAUAGUUCCACGCAAGUUCAGAUGCACCUAGCACUGAUGGUGCUCAUGAGUACACGUGUGCAUCUUGUUCAAUGCCCAGGACAUUCUUCAGUGCCACAGGAGCCUGCUAGACUCAUGGACAAGUGCAGUCCAAGGCAACCCUCAGGCAGAGGGGGAUGGGAAUAAGUGAUGAUCCAGCCUCCUUUCCUUCGGAAGAAUCAUUCUAGGAGGCCCUGGCUGACUGGAGUGCCUGAUCUCCACAGUUGCAACCUGGAUAAUUAUUUUUAUAUGAUCUUUUACUCUUCUAUUUCACUCUCCUCCAUCUCUCCUGUGAUCACUUUCCAAAUAAACUACCUUAAUUCAA